rnacentral:sRNA from 1 species
GGACAGUCAUCGCCGAGUCCCCGUACGGCGCGAGCCAGGGGAGCCGGGGACCCAACUCAGUCCCUGGGGUGAAUCGGACGCCCGCGCGAGCCGCGAGGGGGUCCGUAGGAGACCUUCCUGCUCCGAACCCGUCAGCUAACCCGGUAGGCGAGAAGGAAGGAAAG